GCCAUCGAUGGAGUCAACAUCCGCGUGAUUGACCCAUUCACCAUAAAACCUAUCGAUGCUGAAACAAUUCGCAGCAAUGCUAAGGAAACUGGAGGCAAAAUCAUCACUGUGGAGGACCACUACCCUGAAGGAGGUUUGGGUGAAGCUGUAUGUUCUGCAGUGGCCUGUUGCCGUGACAUCACUGUAAAAAAACUGGCAGUACAGGAAGUCCCUAGAUCUGGCAAGAGCGCAGAACUCCUGGAGAAAUAUGGAAUCAGUGCUAACUGUAUUGUCAAGGCUGUCAAUCAAAUCCUGUCCCAGUAACCUGGUGCCUCACCGAACUAUCGGUUCUCUACAACUGUAGCCAGAGUUUUAGUGGAUGCAGACUUCACUUUGUAUUAGAUUUGUACUCUCCUUGUUUGACUGUUUUAUAUUAACCACAAUCAGAAAUUGGUGCGAUUUGAUGUUAAUUUUGAUACGAUUUGAUAAUACUGUAAGCCAGUGCUUUGAUUCAUCAAGAUCUUUGUCUCGAGAUAGUUGUUGACCAACAGAUUAUAAUUAUAUUGUUUAUGAUUUAUUGUUGCCAGAUGCUAGUGAAAUAAAUUUGACACAAGACAU
rnacentral:misc_RNA from 1 species